rnacentral:lncRNA from 1 species
CGCUAGACAGACCUUGGGUUCCAGGCCCAACUUAGGAAGGUUAGAGUCCUUCCUAAGAUUUAGGGGGUUAGAGGUCCCUCUCAGUAAAGUCCUUUUCAGCUAAGAACAGGCUUGGCACUAUGGGACGUUAACUGCUAUUAUCAUCUUUGGGUUUAUCUGCCUUGCACUCUUUGCUGAUGGCUAAGGGUGACAGAAUUAGGCAUGUACAAGAUCAUGGGACAUGGGGAACUUUUUCCUCCCCAAAAGGGGAAAUUUAAGAGCUGACGGGACUGCUGGGAAAGAUCCCUUCGUUAUCAACAGGCAGCCACCUGAACUUUUCAGUGUCACUGCAGUGGGCAGGUCUUUCUCUGGCCUCCCUGAGCUCUUCACCUUCCCCGCCCUGCCACAGGGAAUGCUUUUCUCUCUCUCCUUUUUCCCUUUCUUAUGUUUUCUAUUACUCAGGGCCACCAUCUUGCCCAGAGACCGUAAGUUGAAGCUCCUGGUUGGAGGCUGGAUUAACAACGAUGGGGCCGACCAGGGGCAUGUCUGAGCCCUGCCAGUUUGAUUUUGGGUGCUGGGUGCUGAGCUGAAUGGCUAAUAUCUAUGUUUUGUCACACAUAUUUUGCUCUGGCCAGGACAGAAAAAGAUAAUUUUCCUUUAUGAUGUGGCUUGGCCCCUAGGGCUGUGGUGCAGCCAGCUGGAUCACUAGGGCCGCCUCAGGGAAAGGGAACCCAGAAGCCUGGCAUGCCAGCAAAAUGGUUUCAAAGUAGCACAGCAAACUGGUCAGUUAUAAAUUUUGUGGCAGGUUCCUGAAAAAAAACUGGAUAAAGUUUCUCUCUUAUCUUGUUUCGUGUGCUUGGGAGCUUGACCUUGUAACACGUGGCAGUACUUUAUCUUGGUCUCUGCCAUCACAGUGGCAGCCUGGGAUCAGGGUUCAAUUCCUGGCUUAGGGAAUGAGUCCUUUAUUUUCUGUCUGUGUAUUUACAUGUAUUAUGUGUGUGAUGUUUAUAUAUGAAAGAGCUUUGAUUAAUUGGUGUAAUAAUAAUAAUAAGCUUAAAUCAAAUAUUUUGUAAGAAAAGUAAAAAGUGUAAUGCCUUUCAGUUCACAUGAAUUAAGUAAUUUUUGGGAAAUAAAAACUGUUUUAUAUGUAAGGUGUAUAAAGAAAGUGAAAUGUCUUUUGGUAAUAGAUUAUAAGAAGGCAUGGAAAUGUGGAUUUUUUUUUGCCUAGAUUAAAAGGUUAAAUUAUUGUUUUAAAUUAGAUAGAAUAAAGCUCAAAGUUUAAGCAAGUUGUCGAAAGUUUGAGAGAAAUUAAUCUUGUAAAGAAAUUCUGUGUGAACAUAUUGGCUAAAGUUAAAGGGGUAUUAAUCAGUUUUUCUGUAAAUUAAACAUUGGAAUAAAAGCACAACAGGUUUUUCUCUGAGCAAUGAUCUGCUUUUCAACACAAAUUGUAAAGGAUUAAUAAAAGGUUUAUAAAAAUCUUACCUUAUGGUCACAGUGAUUAAAAUUGAAUACAUUGGCCAGGCACGAUGGCUCACACCUGUAACCCCAGCACUUUGGGAGGCCGAGGCGGGUGGAUCACUUGAGGUCAGGAGUUCGAGAUCAGCAUGGCCAACACAGUGAAACCCGUCUCUACUAAAAAUACAAAAAAAUGGCUGGGCAUGGUGGUGUGCACCUGUAAUCCUAGCUUCUAGGGAGGUGAGGUGGGAGAAUUGCUUGAACCCGGGAGGUGGAGGUUGCAGUGAGCUGAAAUCAUGCCACUGCCCUCUAGCCUGGGUGACAGAGUGAGACUCUGUCUCAAAAAAAAAAAAAAAAUGAAUAGAUUUAUCUAUGAGAUUUUGUUAAGAAUAUUUAACAUCAAUAGUACACUAAUGUAAAGGUGAAAUUUGGCUUAUUUGGUAUAAAAGUCAUACAGGAAGCAUUGUCAAAUAGGAAAUUGGCUUUCUUUGGGCUGUAUUUGUAUAAAUAUGUUACUGGCAUGUGUUCCAAAAUUAGGUGAAACUCCUAUAAUUCUGAUAUGACUUAGUGUAUGUUAUUAAUAGUUGUACUUGUUAUGUUAAAUUAUUGUAUGCUCCAGGAGUAACCAAAUUUCCUUGUCAAUUGUGGCUUUAAUUGUGGCUGUCCUAAGACUUUCUGUCAUCCACAGACAAUUCUUGUCUUGUUUUGGUCCUAUUUAAAAGGUGGCUUAUAAUCAGAUAUAGGCCUUUAACAGGUGCUCUUGAAUGCAAGUUUCUGAUUACUUUCAAAGUUGUAACAUGAGAAUAGAGGAAAAAACUUUCAGGACUCUCAUGGGGAGCUGAAAUGUUCCUGAAUAUCAAGCAGAACAGGAGUUAACUGCAUGAACCAAACUAAUAGAAGAUUGAAAUCAUCUUUUUUGACUUUGCUUAAAAUGUUGCUGAUCCUUUGCUUUUUUCAAAGACAAGAAAACUUUUCUUUUGAGCUAUUUAGAGCUUUUAACAAUUAAGUAAAGUAUACUGCUAUGAACAAAAUUUGAAGCAUAUUUGUUUCUCUCAACCUGAUCUCUCCAGAAUUUAGAAACUAUUUGUGAGUAUUCUUAAUUUAUGGCAAUAUAGUUAAUUGCAUAAUUGUAAAGAAUUUGUUUUUGUUUGUAACAGGACACAACUGGAGAAACUGGUUAUUUUUUUCACAGGAAUGGCAUGCUUUCCUUUAAGGAAUCAAAUUGAAUUGUAGAGUCAAUAGAAGCCCCUUGGGGGAAACUGGCCUUGUACCUUGUCUCCACAGUCCCUGUACAGGGUUCCUGAUCUGUGGUAAGUAAAGAAUGUCACUUUCUCACAGGCCCAGGAGCCCCAAGUUAUCUUGGGACCCCCCAAGAGGAGAGGAAUUUACCCAACCCAUAGGUAUUUGAGAAUAUAAACCUAUGGCUGGGCUUGGCUUUAAAAAAGGUCUUAUCUGAGAUUCCUUAUGGAACAGAGUUCCAUCAAAGCCAAUUUAAAAAGCCUAUGUGAAAAAUAAUUAUUCUUGCUGCACUUUAUACAAAUAAUCAAGCCAAGUAUACAAGACUAAGGCUUAUUUUUCCAAACUAAUCAGUCCUGUUAUGGUUUGUCUUUAGUAAAAAUGGGAGACUGGAGACAGAAAUUAUGUUUCAAGAACUAUGGUACAUUUGUCAUUAGAUUCUAGUUUCAUCAGUCGUUUUUAAGUUUUUUCUGCUAUUUAAACUAACCCUGCUUAUUCCUGUGAACCAACCAGUGAUCUCUGACUGCGGCUCAGAAGAAAUAAAAGCAAUGGGUAAUGUAAAUAUCUGGAUCAGUAUUCCAAUUCUGGACACACUGGAAUCAGCUAGCGACCCCAUAUCAGCUUGGUUCCAAUAGUUGCCCAGUUAAUAAAAAGCCUUCUUACUUAGUUUACUUGGGAUAAUUUUGUUUAUUUUGUUUUACUGUUGUGGAAUAUAUUGCUGUUGCACUCUUUGUGUAGGAAUGCAGGAUAAGCUUACUCAAUGUUUUCUUAAGUUGAACACUUAAUAAUCUUCCAGAUAUCACCUUGCCAUACUGACGUCUUCUGACUGAGCUCUUCUCUACCCCAAAUACAAGAGACCCUAAUAGUUAGGCAGGAAUAUCAUCAUCCCUAUUCAGCCCGAAGAAGUUACAGAAGAUGGAUCUUUGUCCCUUUACAACCCUUAGGAUUAAGGAUUCUCUUAUAAAAGGGAGGGGAGAAAUGUCAGAGGCAUUUGAACCAGAGCAACUUGAAUAGGGGCUGGGGAAAAUGAGGCUGAGACCUACUGGGCUGCAUUCCCAGGUGGUUAGGCAUUCUAGGUCACAGAAUGAGAUGGAGGUUGGCACAAGGUACAGGUCAUAAAAACCUUGCUGAUAUAACCGCUUGCAGUAAAGAAGCCGGCUAAAUCCCGCCAAAACCAAGAUGGCGACAAGAGUGACCUCUGGUUGUCCUCACUGCUACACUCCCACCAGCACCAUGACAGUUUACAAAUGCCAUGGCAGCAUCAGGAAGUUACCCUAUAUGGUCUAAAAAGGGGAGGCAUGAAUAAUCCACCCCUUGUUUAGCAUAUCAUCAAGAAAUAGUCAUAAAAAUGGGCAACCAGCAGACCUCAGGGCUGCUCUAUAGAGUAGACAUUCUUUUAGUGUUUUACUUUCCUAAUAAACUUGCUUUCACUUUACUCUAUGGACUUGCCUUGAAUUCUUACAAGAGAUCC